AUCCACGGACGUCUCGAUGGCGCGCGUGAAAUUUUCAAAUAUACUUUUUCUUUUUUUUUUCGCUACCGUACUUGCGGGUAAUCGCGAACAACGCGAGAAUGAGACGUGGUAACAUAAUACGCGUUAGGUUUGGCUAGUAAGUUUCCUAAUUGUGCAUUCGUUUUUAGAUAUUUGUGCGUGUUAUCUAUAGUGUUUGAUUUGAGACGUACCUGUAGGGCUUAGGCUAUUAAACAGAACGUUUUGCUUUGAGUUAUUCGUAUUUUGAUUUUUACGCGGUACACCACAAUAUUAUAGAGGUUUAGUGCAACGUAGAAUUCAUUUUACGUUUAGGAAUUAAACGCAUUUUAGUUUAAGUUCGGCGAUCUGCAUAAUAUGGUGGGCCUGAAUCGGCCACAGUCAAUAUUUUAUCGAAGUGACGGUGUAGUGACUCCGAAGUAUUUUGAAUUUUGACACAAGGCUCUAUAUAGGUAUGAGGCUGAAGAUGAUUAGAUGCGAUAAUUGGAUCUCUAUGCACCGAGAAAAUCGUUGUAUUGUUGGCCUAUUUAGCGACAAAACUACAAAAGUAUAAGGAGAAGGUUGAUUCGCUGUUAAAUUGUUAAAUACGAGUGAUGAUUUUGUAAUUACGCCUCGCUUACAUUAUAGAAAUGGCAGAAACGAUAUCAUUGUAUGGUUAUUAAGAAAACAAGUGUUCAUAUGUAGCUGAAUUGACGUGAACGGCUAAUACUACUUGUAAAAGGGAGUACACAUGUGAAUAGAGGGAUUUAUCCAAAAAUAAUCAAUAAUAUAAGUAAAGUUAAUGGCUGUUAACCACAGUAUGAUAAUAUUAAGCAGUAGCAGUUCUUGCUGGCUGCUUUCAUUCCAUCAAAAUUCCCUAUCGCAUUUAUAAAAAAAAAUUAAGUAUAUAUUAAUAUUAUUUUAUAAAAUUAGAAUAAAUUUGCCAACGUUAAUAUAUGUAUGUAAAGAUUCAAACUUUGGUCUACUCCGUCACAUUGUUAUAUAUAAUAUAUACCUACCUAAAGAUACGACCAAUCAAUUUUAAUUUUUAAGAAAGUCAAAUAAACUAGUUUAUAAUGUUUAAAUUUUAUAAGUAUGUUUAAUACAAUAUUAUUCAUUGGUAUAAGUUAAUUUACGUUUGCUUUUACAUUUACAUAAAGUGUAGUAAAUUUAAUUUAUUUAAUUUCAACUUUGGUAAUUGUUUUAUGUACUUAUUUAUGAGAUAAAAUGAUAAAACUAAAAUUAUUGUGUGAUAUUUUUGAUAAAUUAUAUAUUUCUUAUUUUUCCGAGUGAUUAAAAAAUAUAUGGGAAUUAUUUUACGACGAAAACUUUAUGACCAAAAAACUGGACAAAUAUUGAUGUAUCUUUUUGACUUUAUAAUAAUAAAUAAAUUAUAAAAGUACACUUAUUUUAAUACUCCAUU